AAUGUUGUAUUAGAAUUAGCACAUUUCAUUUCCAUGGAUAUUAUUUUGGCCGGCACUUUCAGUCAUGGUUCAUUAACUUUGAAUGUUUUGCAUAAUUUACAUGUUAACCCAAGUCAAACUGAACUGCUAUCAUUAGCAGUUUAUUAGCUGUUAUUUACCAGUUCUUCAUAUUUUUAGCAGUCUUUCAGCUGUUCAUAGCAUUCCAUCUAAUAGCAGUUUGAGAAACUGCCUUAUUUCACCAUUUCUUAGCAUUCCUCUUAGCAUUCAUCUUCGCAUUCAUCUUAGCAGUCUGGAUCUACCUUCUUAACUGUUGUCAAUUUGUCAAUUGGACAACAGUUAUGACAGCAGUUCAAUAGCAAUUUGAUAGCAGUUUUGGUUUUAAUCUUUGUUAUAAAAAUGCUUGGAUCUGGCUGUGUUUUCAGCUUGAUAGUAAACCUUUAUUUGAAGGUUAUUUGAUCAUUUUCAAAUGUGCAUUUUGGCUCCAAACUGAGUGUAAAUACUUGCUAGUGAAAAACUGUAUUUAUGUCAAUUAUAAAGUUUAAUUUGGGCUACAUGGAAUAAUUUCUCACACCUGCAGUACAGUAAGUUGAAGUUACAGAUAAUGCAUCUGUAUUUUCUGACAUAACUUUGUAGGGAAAAACAGAAAUAAUACAGAAAGCCAAAAAAAAGGGGGGAUAGUUGUUUAUUCAAAUAGAAUAUCUGAUGAUAAUGGGAUUGUAAUAAAAUACUAGCAUAUACUAACAGUGCAAGAUGUUAUUUGAAAAUAAAAAUAUGAAUAUUUUAAUAUAAUUUUGUAAAAAAAAACAAAAAUAAAUCAUAUUCAAGAGUUGAAAAAGGGGAAGGGAAUAUUAGGGAAACCUAGGUCACAUAUAGCUGAUUGUUUAAUAUUGACCAAACAAUCCAUUUAGUGAAGUUAAUAUAUGUUACUUAAGUUUGUUUCAGAAAGUGGAAACAUAAUAUAUUACAUGUUUUAAGAAUUAUUUUGUUUAAUUCCAAAAGAGAAAGAGGAGAUAACUGUUUUCUUUUGGUCCACACAAAAUAUAUAUAGUAGAAGAGAAAUUAAUUAGUAGUACAUUUGGUAAUUAAAAAAUAAUAAAAAUAAAAUAACUUUUAAUCUGAAAAUCACUUAGUCAAGGUAAUAAAUAGUCUCUUAAGUAACCACUCUUAUUGAAUAAGUUGCUUUUUAUAAGCACUGAAAUUUAAAGUGCAUUAUAAUUCUUAACUGUUCCUAUUAUUCUGCCACUGACAUAAUUAAUAAGGGGUAUUAGGCCAGGUACAGUACUCACAAAGCAUGUUUACACCCCUUAACAAGUCUGUUAUUGAAUUAAAAUAGAGUCAUUUGAUUGCAGUUACUGCUCAAAUUACAAAUAUAAGUUGGUACAACUUUUUGAAAUUUCAACAAGACUUGUAGUAAAAUAUUAGAAUUUUAUUUUUGCAUUCAUAUCUUGUACACUGUAUAUUCAUGUGUACCUUUGUAUUCCAACUUUGACAGAUCUGAUAGCAUUCCAUAGCAGUUAUUAGCAGUUUAGAAAACCAUAUUAGGAUGUACAACUUAGCAGUUUCUAUGAAUAUUCAUUAUUGAUAGCAGUUUUUGAGUAUCUCAUUUAAAUUUUUCGUCAAAAAUAACUGCUAAAUAACUGUGAAGGCUAAAUAAACUGCUAAGAAACUGCUAUGGAAUGCUAUUGGAAUGCCUAUAUGCAAAUUAACUAUUGCCUUGUAUUUGGCAACUGUGAAUGCUAAUGAACUGCUAAAGAACAGCUGUCGAGUAAGAACUGUAAAUGCUAAUAAACUGCUAAAGAACUGCUGUCCACUUUGACUUGGGAAAGUGUAGCUAUUUUAAUUUCAACAUUUGCAUAUUACUGUUGAUUUAUACAUAUUAAUGAUAAGUAUAUGUCUGCAAGUUGAUGUUUACCUAUAAACAAUAAUUAGUCUCAUGUACCAUACCACAUUUAUCUAUAACUAAUAUUGAUUCUAUGAAUAGAAAUGGAAGUGUUUUAUUUGGAAGGAACCCAUAUGCUUGCCAUUAUUUAUACUUUAAUAUCAUCCACAAAACUUUUAACAUACUUAUACUAAGACACAAUUGUAUAAACACUAUACAAAUAUCUUAUUCACAAACAAUUCUAAAAUACAUUAAAUAACAAUAAUUGUAUCAUUUGGCUUUCUAGGGGGCUACUCAAUUAAACUUACAAUGAAAAUAAUUAAAAUAACACAACUCAAAAACACUGCCUACUCAUUAAUUGCCUAAAUUAUGCACCUGUGGUAGAUCCCAGACAGGUGAUGCUUUUUGUUCAUAAAAACCUGUGGUAGAACCCAAACAAGGGAAACAAUUAUAAGAACCUGUGGUAGAGCCUGGACAGGUGAAAUUUAUUAGAACCUGUGGUAGAACCCAGACAGGUAAAAAUUCUUGAAACCUGUGGUAGAACCCAGACAGGGGAAAAUGCAAUAACCUGAGGUAGAACCCAGACAGGUGAGCAUUAAAAACAUACAGGAAUCUGAUGUUCAGUAGUUGUCGUUUGUUGAUGUGGUUCAUAAGUGUUUCUCGUUUCUCGUUUUUGUCGAGCCUGCGACUUUUGUCGCAGAAAGCUCGACAUAGGGAUAGUGAUCAGGCGGCGGUGGCGGCGGCUUAGGUAACUUCUUAAAAGCUUUAUAUUUUAGAAGGUGGAAGACCUGGAUGCUUCAUACUUUGUAUAUGGAUGCCUCAUGUUACGAAGUUUCCGUCUGUCACAUGUCCAAUGUCCUUGACCUCAUUUUCAUGGUUCAGUGACUACUUGAAAAAAAAGUUAACAUUUUUUAUACGACCGCAAAAAAUAUUUUGCGGUCGUAUAUUGGUAUGACGUUGGCGUCGUAGUCGUCUUCAUCGUCGGAAGACACAUUGGUUUUCACACUCUAACUUUAGUUUAAGUGAAUGGAUCUCUAUGAAAUUUUACCAAAAGGUUCAAUACCACAAAAGGAAGGUUGGGAUUGAUUUUGGGGGUUAUGGUACCAACAGUUAAGGAAAAAGGGGCCAAAAAUAAGCAUUUUUGUAACUUCCAGUCAUAACUUGUGUGUUAGUGUAUGGAUCUCUCUGACAUUGUACCACAAGGUUCCAUAUCACACAGGGAAUGCUGGCAUUGAUUUUGGGGGUAAUUGCUUCAAAAUAUUAGGAAUUAGGGGCAAAAAACAAGCAUUUUUCUAGUUUCGUGACAAUAACUUGUGUGUAAGUGUAUGGAUCUUUCUGAAAUUGUACUACAAGGUUCUAUAUCACAAAGGGAAAGCUGGAAUUGAGUUUGGGGAUAAUUGCCCAAAACGUUUAGGAAAAAGGGGCCAAAAAUAAGCAUUUUUCUAGUUUCCAGACAAUAACUUGUGUUCAAGUGUAUGGAUCUCUCUGAAAUUGUACUGCAAGGUACCAUACCACAAAGGGAAGGCUGGGAUUCAUUUUGGGGGUAAUUGCUUCAAAAUUUUAGGAAUUAGGGGCCAAAAAAGGGGCAAAAAACAAAUUUUUCUAGUUUCAGGACAAUAACUUGUGUGUAAGUGUAUGGAUCUUUAUGAAAUUGUACUACAAGGUUCCAUAUCACAAAGGGAAAGCUCGGUUUGAGUUUGGGGGUAAUUGCCCUAAACGUUUAGGAAUUUGGGGCCAAAAAGGGGCAAAAAAACAAGCAUUUUUCUAGUUUCAAGACAAUAACUUGUGUUCAAGUGUAUGGAUUUCUCUGAAAUUGUACUGCAGGUACCAUACCACAAAGGGAAGGCUGGGAUUGAGUUUGGGGGUGAUGAAUCAUAAGAGGAAUCAAAAAAUUGGGGGGGGGGAUUUUUUUUUCUUUAAAAUUUUCCAUUUUAAAUUGGUUAUUUCUGAUUUAUAUAUAAAAGCAAAUAAUAAUGAUAUGGUUUGAAAAGGUAAAUUAAAAAUUCUUAAGUUCUUCGACCACAUUCAUUCUGUGUCAGAAACCUGUGCUGUGUCAAAUAUUUAAUCACAAUCCAAAUUCAGUGCUGUAUCAAGUUUGAAUGUUGUGUCCAUACUUGCCCAACUGUUCAGGAUUCGACCUCUGCGGUCGUAUCAAGCUGUUCCCAGCGGAGCAUUUUAUUGUAAUGGUAAAUUCUCUUAUUAUAAGUAGUAGGAUAACUAUAUUUGGUAUGUGCGUACCUUGCAAGGUCCUCAUACCCGUCAGACAGUUUUCACUUGACCUCGACCUCAUUUCAUGGAUCAGUGAACAAGGUUAAGUUUUGGUGGUCAAGUCCAUAUCUCAGAUACUAUAAGCAAUAGGUCAAGUAUAUUCGGUGUAUGGAAGGACUGUAAGGUGUACAUGUCCAACUGGCAGGUGUCAUCUGACCUUGACCUCAUUUUCAUGGUUCAGUGGUUAUAGUUAAGUUUUUGUGUUUUGGUCUGUUUUUCUUAUACUGUAUGCAAUAGGUCUACUAUAUUUGGUGUAUGGAAUGAUUGUAAGGUGUACAUGUCUAGCUGGCAGGUGUCAUUUGACCUUGACCUCAUUUUCAUGGUUCAGUGGUCAAAGUUAAGAUUUUGAGUUUUGGUCUUUUUUUCUAAUACUAUAUGCAAUAGGUCAACUAUAUUUGUUGUAUGGAAGAAUUGUUAGCUGUACAUGCCUGCCUGGCAUGGUUCAUCUGACCUUGACCUCAUUUUCAUGGUUCAUUGGUCAAUGUUUAGUUUUCUUGGUUAAUGUUAAGUUUAUGUGACAGUUGUAAUAAAGCUUUAUAUUUAGGACUAUCAACAUAAUAUCAGUGAUUAGUAAAGAUGGCGAGACAUUUCAGCGUGUGCACUCUUGUUUUAUAUAGAUUAGACCUUUGGUUUUCCCAUUUGAAUGGUUUUACACUAGUAACUUUUAUAGCUUGCUGUUCGGUGUGAUCCAAGGCUCCGUGUUGAAGACCGUACUUUGACAUAUAUUGGUUUACUUUUAUAAAUUUUGACUUGGAUGGAGAGUUGUCUCAUUGGCACUCAUACCACAUCUUCUUAUAUCUAUGUAUAAGAACCUGUGGUAGAUCCCAGACAGGUGUUUUAAAUGAGAAUUCCUGUGGUAGAUCCCAGCAGGUACAAAUAACUAAUUUAAUAAUGACCCUUAAAUUAAACAAAGCCUUAAUUAUUUAUAAGAUGUAAUUAAUGAAUUGGGGGAAAAUAAUUUCACUGAAAUUAAGUUGGCAAUACAAACAAAAAACAAAACAAAAACAACAUAUUUUUAUGAGUAGCCCCUUUAAAAAAAAAAAAAAAAUAAUAAGAACAAUUUUUUAGGUGUAGCUGGGGACGGUGGAUGGGCUGAAUUAAUUUUCCACAAAUAAAAAUUGACUGUUUGCAGUGCAAUGCUCAACUAACAACUGACCCCCUUAUCAAAAUUA